GGCCUACCAUGGUGGUAACGGGUAACGGGGUGUUAGGGCACGACACCGGAGAGGGAGCCUGAGAAACGGCUACCACAUCCAAGGAUGGCAGCAGGCGCGCAAAUUACCCAAUCCCGACACGGGGAGGUAGUGACAAUAAAUAACAAUACGGGGUUCUUUCGGAUCUCGUAAUUGGAAUGAGUACAAUUUAAAUCUCUUAACGAGGAACAAUUGGAGGGCAAGUCUGGUGCCAGCAGCCGCGGUAAUUCCAGCUCCAAUAGCGUAUAUUAAAGUUGUUGCAGUUAAAAAGCUCGUAGUUGAAUUUCGGGGUUAGUAGGUUGGUCAUGCCUCUGGUAUGUACUGGUCUCACUGAUUCCUCCUUCCUGAUGAACCGUAAUGCCAUUAAUUUGGUGUUGCGGGGAAUUUGGACUGUUACUUUGAAAAAAUUAGAGUGUUUAAAGCAAGCUAACGCUUGAAUACAUUAGCAUGGAAUAAUGAAAUAGGACGUUCGAUCCUAUUUUGUUGGUUUCUAGGAUUGACGUAAUGAUUAAUAGGGAUAGUUGGGGGCAUUAGUAUUCAAUUGUCAGAGGUGAAAUUCUUGGAUUUAUUGAAGACUAACUACUGCGAAAGCAUUUGCCAAGGAUGUUUUCAUCAAUCAAGAACGAAAGUUAGGGGAUCGAAGACGAUCAGAUACCGUCGUAGUCUUAACCAUAAACUAUGCCGACUAGGGAUCGGAUGAUGUUAAUUUUUUAAUGACUCAUUCGGCGCCUUACGGGAAACCAAAGUGUUUGGGUUC
rnacentral:rRNA from 1 species